UGCGCCGGCGACGGUUCAUUCAAAUUUCUGCCCUAUCAACUUUCGAUGGUAAGGUAUGGCUUACCAUGGUUUCAACGGGUAACCGGGGAAUUAGGGUUCGAUUCCGGAGAGGGAGCCUGAGAAACGGCUACCACAUCCAAGGAAGGCAGCAGGCGCGCAAAUUACCCAAUCCCAAUACGGGGAGGUAGUGACAAUAAAUACUGAUACAGGGCUCUUUAGGGUCUUGUAAUUGGAAUGAGUACAAUUUAAACCUCUUAACGAGGAACAAUUGGAGGGCAAGUCUGGUGCCAGCAGCCGCGGUAAUUCCAGCUCCAAUAGCGUAUAUUAAAGUUGUUGCAGUUAAAAAGCUCGUAGUUGAACCUUUGGCCUGGCUGGCGGGUCCGCCUCACCGCGUGCACUCGUCCGGCCGGGCCUUUUCUUCUGGAGAACCGCAUGCCCUUCACUGGGUGUGUUGGGGACCAGGACUUUUACUUUGAAUAAAUCAGAGUGUUCAAAGCAGGCAUUUGCUCGAAUACGUUAGCAUGGAAUAAUAGAAUAGGACGUGCGGUCUUAUUUUGUUGGUUUCUAAGACCGCCGUAAUGAUUAAUAGGGACAGUCGGGGGCAUCAGUAUUCAAUUGUCAGAGGUGAAAUUCUUGGAUUUAUUGAAGACUAACUACUGCGAAAGCAUUUGCCAAGGAUGUUUUCAUUAAUCAGUGAACGAAAGUUAGGGGAUCGAAGACGAUCAGAUACCGUCGUAGUCUUAACCAUAAACUAUGCCGACUAGGGAUCGGGCGGUGUUAUUAUUUUGACUCGCUCGGCACCUUACGAG
rnacentral:rRNA from 1 species